CGGACGGGUGAGUAACACGUGGGUAACCUGCCUCAAAGAGGAGAAUAGCCUCCCGAAAGGGAGAUUAAUACUGCAUAAUCCUGAGAAGGGAAAGCAGCAAUGCGCUGAGAGAGGAGCCCGCGGCUGAUUAGCUAGUUGGUGGGGUAAGAGCCUACCAAGGCAGAGAUCGGUAGCCGGCCUGAGAGGGCACACGGCCACACUGGCACUGAAACACGGGCCAG
rnacentral:rRNA from 1 species